UUUUUUUAAAAACAGGUUCCACCUCUAAAGCUUUUUGCUGAAUCGUUUGCUUCUAUUACGGCUUUUUCAAAUCCGUUGUCUCUAUACUCGGUCGAAAAAAACUUGAAGCGCUUUGAGUGACUCGGCAGACGUUUCCAAAUUAGUUUGUGGGUUUUGAAGUGACUUGCUGACAAUGAACUGAGUUUCCUCAUUUUUGAUUUGUCUAAAGUGUUCACUAAUAACAGUAUCAAACUUUGCUUACAUUUCCAUCAAACCUAAAAAUGUCCCAUUAUUAGGUUGGUAUAUUACAUCUGUAGAGCCUCAUAACUCUCAAUAACUCAACAACUC